rnacentral:rRNA from 1 species
UACAGAGGUCUCAAGCGUUGUUCGGAUUCAUUGGGCGUAAAGGGUGUGUAGGUGGCGCCGUAAGUCGGGUGUGAAAUUUCGGAGCUUAACUCCGAAACUGCAUUCGAUACUGCGGUGCUCGAGGACUGGAGAGGAGACUGGAAUUCAUGGUGUAGCAGUGAAAUGCGUAGAGAUCAUGAGGAAGACCAGUGGCGAAGGCGGGUCUCUGGACAGUUCCUGACACUGAGGCACGAAGGCCAGGGGAGCAAACGGG